rnacentral:rRNA from 1 species
UACGUAGGGUGCAAGCGUUAAUCGGAAUUACUGGGCGUAAAGCGUGCGCAGGCGGUUCUAUAAGACAGAUGUGAAAUCCCCGGGCUCAACCUGGGAACUGCAUUUGUGACUGUAGAGCUGGAGUACGGCAGAGGGGGAUGGAAUUCCGCGUGUAGCAGUGAAAUGCGUAGAUAUGCGGAGGAACACCGAUGGCGAAGGCAAUCCCCUGGGCCUGUACUGACGCUCCAUGCACGAAAGCGUGGGGGAGCAA